rnacentral:rRNA from 1 species
UACAGAGGUCCCGAGCGUUGUUCGGAUUCACUGGGCGUAAAGGGUGCGUAGGUGGUGAGGUAAGUCGGAUGUGAAAUCUCCGGGCUCAACCCGGAAAUGGCAUUGGAAACUACCUUGCUUGAGGGUUUGAGGGGGGAUUGGAAUACUUGGUGUAGCAGUGAAAUGCGUAGAUAUCAAGUGGAACACCAGUGGCGAAGGCGAAUCCCUGGACAACACCUGACACUGAGGCACGAAAGCUAGGGGAGCAAACAGG